UGCCAUCACACAUUAGUAUUUUAAUUUAUUUAUGCAGAUUUGGAACUGUUGUGGAUCAAGUUUAUUUUAUAGAGUUAACUAAUUUCUGUAUGUGUGUAUCUAGUUGUUGUGAUAUAAAGGAAAACACUUCCCCCUAGGAGGGGGAAGUGUGGAAUUGAAAGGAGUCCUCAAAGUUCAAGUCCACUACUAUGAAAGAUGGCAAUGUCCAGUUAGUCACUUCUAAGGAUGUUAAAGGGAAUCUAACUGUUGCUGGUGAAGAGGAAACUGCCCAGGAAUUGGUACACUUCAUUGAGGCUGCUGAGAAUGAGUAUCAGACAGCCAUCAGUGAAAACUACCAAACUAUGUCCAACACUACCUUCAAGGCCUUGCGUCGCCAACUUCCUGUUACACGGACCAAGAUUGAUUGGAAUAAGAUAGUUUCAUAUUCCGUGGGUAAGGAGCUUAAAAAGCAAUAAUAGUAACUGGUGGUCCUAUGGAACAUUUAAAAUAAUUCAUCUGUCUCUAUGGGAUGCUGUAGGGAUAGUUUUAACAGUACAUUUGGCGGUCAUUAUUCCUACUGAUUAGUAUUGGUUGUUGAAUACUUCAGAGUCAAAUUAUUGUUUUGUCCCUUAAUAUUAUUGAUAUUUGGAGUUUAUCAGUAUCUAUGUUUUCCAUUUUAUCUGCUUUGUUAUAGCUGAUUAAACCCAUCAUGAUUUUUAAAAUAAAACAGUUUGACUUGUUUGGGUAAAGAAGAAAACAUAUUGCUUUUGGACUUAUGUGGAGUGAACCAUGCCAGUUGAGCACUGUUACUGAAGCUAAAACUACAUCUUGUUGAACUGUUGUGUAGGCUAUCAGAAACACACAGCAAGGGUACCCUUUCUAUUGGGAGUGAAACACUGAGCUUCAUGAAAUGUUUAGAAAACAAAGCCAAAUGAGUAGGGCAGAUCUUCCUUUGGGGGAUUAAUCCAAUUUUUACAAAUUUAUAUCCUUCAAAAGUUUGUGUGGUCAGUGUUCCACCUUUGAUCAAGUCUUCCCGUGCUUUGUUUUUGAUUGUUUACACAAGCAUCAAGUGCAGCAGGCAACAGGCUCAUUUUAUAGACUUUACAUGAAAGAGUAGUAGAGUCUAUUAGGAAUGUGAGUUUCUGCUGCCAACAUCAUAUUUCUGAAAAGAAGCUGCAUUUUGCAAGAUGGUCCAUGCCGUCACUACUACCCAGACGCCUGUGAUACCUCGCUGAGGGGAGGUCUUAGGGACGAUGUCUGUUCCUAGAGAUGGCCUGCUUGCUAACUGCUUGAUGGUGUUGAUUAUAUAGUACAUAUUUAUCUAAACAUUUACACUUAAUGUUUAAGAAGUGAUUUUGCAAGAAGUUCCUGUUUUGCCAAGUGCAUUACAGGCCAAAAAUAUAUUAUCAGGUAGCCCAAUGUGAGGGCAUUUCAAUUGUCCUUUGCACAUUAUGGAUGAAGCAAGGUGAGCUCUGCACAAACAAACCUAGAAAGAAAAUAUAUUGUUGCAAUUUA